rnacentral:rRNA from 1 species
CUACGGGCGGUUGCAGUGGGGAAUAUUGCGCAAUGGGGGAAACCCUGACGCAGCAACGCCGCGUGAAGGAUGAAGGUUUUCGGAUCGUAAACUUCUUUGAUGAGGGAAGAAAAAUGACGGUACCUCAAAAACAAGCCACGGCUAACUACGUGCCAGCAGCCGCGGUAAUACGUAGGUGGCGAGCGUUGUCCGGAAUUACUGGGUGUAAAGGGCGUGUAGGCGGGAAUGUAAGUCAGAUGUGAAAUUCCGGGGCUCAACUUCGGAGCUGCAUCUGAAACUAUAUUUCUUGAGUGCUGGAGAGGAAAGCGGAAUUCCUAGUGUAGCGGUGAAAUGCGUAGAUAUUAGGAGGAACACCAGUUGCGAAGGCGGCUUUCUGGACAGUAACUGACGCUGAGGCGCGAAAGCGUGGGGAGCAAACAGGAUUAGAUACCCCAGUAGUC